rnacentral:rRNA from 1 species
UACAGAGGUCUCAAGCGUUGUUCGGAUUCAUUGGGCGUAAAGGGUGUGUAGGUGGCGCGCUAAGUCGGGUGUGAAAUUUCGGAGCUUAACUCCGAAACUGCAUUCGAUACUGGCGUGCUUGAGGACUGGAGAGGAGACUGGAAUUCAUGGUGUAGCAGUGAAAUGCGUAGAGAUCAUGAGGAAGACCAGUGGCGAAGGCGGGUCUCUGGACAGUUCCUGACACUGAGACACGAAGGCUAGGGGAGCAAACGGG